rnacentral:lncRNA from 1 species
GACAAUAUCAUUAUUCAUUCAUGAUUAAUAGUAACAUAGAUCAGUAUCACAUAAUUUAUGAACUAGGAUGAACGAAACUUAAUUAGUGAGAUUUCACAAGGGAAUCAAGGAUAUGAGCAUUUUACAAAAUCAAACAGUAAAAGGCGCAGCUUAAUUACUGCAAAUAAACAGCACAAAUAUUAGAUAAUAAUUCAUAACCAUAGAUUACUGGGACGACAUUUCUGCACUCAAAAAACACACAUCUUCAACUCAGCACACCAUAGUACCAAAUUAAACCAUGCUAUAUAUAUAAAGGAUUAUAAGAGGGUUGUUAUAGUUUUAGUCUAAACAAUAUUAAUAACACUAUAUAUUGAAACCCUUGGUUGAUUCUCAACAACACUUUGGAUCAUGAGCGUGAUUUGCUCCGGGACUACGGUAGUCUGAAAUCUCCAAAAUCAUUCUUUCUUCUGAUUCUUCACCUUCCCCUUUCUCAUCAAUUAGUCCGUUCUUGUUCUCUACCGCACCCGUCGUUAGAUCCUGCUACAGGUUAAAAAUAAAUAAUCUAUCAUCCAUAGAUUGAUUUUAGAUAUAAUUAAAUUAAAGAAGAUAGAUGGCUGCAUAAUUAAUUUUGGAUACAAUUUAUAACGUGGUUAAUGUAGGCUUGGAUCUUUAAUUCUUAGGAAUUUGAGAUCAUCUUUUGAAGAUAUAUCUUUUUGUUCCUAUAAAUUCAAAGAUUAAUCAAUUAAGAAAAUAACUGAUGAUUCUGUCAAGUAACUAGGGCACAAUAAACCAUAACCAGCCAUGUCCCUUUCAAGGCUGUUUUGCCAAUUAAUCAAAUUUUUUUUAUUUAAUAUUUGUCCUUGAUAAAAUAAAAGAACCUGAUCGAGCAGGUUAUGAGAGAGAGGACCUUAGUAACAAGUUGAUCUUGCACUGAAAAUUCCAUCUUUUCCAUUAUCAUAGAGCUUCCUAUAUAAUAAUCACAUGACAAUUAAAGCAUAUUAAUAUAAAAAAAAAUAAUUAAGGCAUAUUAAUUAAGAAAAAAUCAAACCCUAAUUAGUGAGAACCUUGAAAAACUUACUUGUUGCAGGAACAGCAAGAGCAUAAACAAGUAAGGACAUUAGACCUAGAAGAAUAACCAGAAGCCUAACAAGCACUACUUUCUUCUCCAUGAUAUGAAAUCAGAGUAGUGGAUAGAAAGAAAGGGAUCUAUUGAUGAUAAAUGAGAAAGGAGAGAAUAGAAGAAGUAAUUAAGGUAU